GGGUUGUGAGGUUAAGCGACUAAGCGUACACGGUGGAUGCCCUGGCAGUCAGAGGCGAUGAAGGACGUGCUAAUCUGCGAUAAGCGUCGGUAAGGUGAUAUGAACCGUUAUAACCGGCGAUUUCCGAAUGGGGAAACCCAGUGUGAUUCGUCACACUAUCAUUAACUGAAUCCAUAGGUUAAUGAGGCGAACCGGGGGAACUGAAACAUCUAAGUACCCCGAGGAAAAGAAAUCAACCGAGAUUCCCCCAGUAGCGGCGAGCGAACGGGGAGCAGCCCAGAGCCUGAAUCAGUGUGUGUGUUAGUGGAAGCGUCUGGAAAGGCGCGCGAUACAGGGUGACAGCCCCGUACACAAAAAUGCACAUGCUGUGAGCUCGAUGAGUAGGGCGGGACACGUGGUAUCCUGUCUGAAUAUGGGGGGACCAUCCUCCAAGGCUAAAUACUCCUGACUGACCGAUAGUGAACCAGUACCGUGAGGGAAAGGCGAAAAGAACCCCGGCGAGGGGAGUGAAAAAGAACCUGAAACCGUGUACGUACAAGCAGUGGGAGCCUCUUUAUGGGGUGACUGCGUACCUUUUGUAUAAUGGGUCAGCGACUUAUAUUCUGUAGCAAGGUUAACCGAAUAGGGGAGCCGAAGGGAAACCGAGUCUUAACUGGGCGUUAAGUUGCAGGGUAUAGACCCGAAACCCGGUGAUCUAGCCAUGGGCAGGUUGAAGGUUGGGUAACACUAACUGGAGGACCGAACCGACUAAUGUUGAAAAAUUAGCGGAUGACUUGUGGCUGGGGGUGAAAGGCCAAUCAAACCGGGAGAUAGCUGGUUCUCCCCGAAAGCUAUUUAGGUAGCGCCUCGUGAAUUCAUCUCCGGGGGUAGAGCACUGUUUCGGCAAGGGGGUCAUCCCGACUUACCAACCCGAUGCAAACUGCGAAUACCGGAGAAUGUUAUCACGGGAGACACACGGCGGGUGCUAACGUCCGUCGUGAAGAGGGAAACAACCCAGACCGCCAGCUAAGGUCCCAAAGUCAUGGUUAAGUGGGAAACGAUGUGGGAAGGCCCAGACAGCCAGGAUGUUGGCUUAGAAGCAGCCAUCAUUUAAAGAAAGCGUAAUAGCUCACUGGUCGAGUCGGCCUGCGCGGAAGAUGUAACGGGGCUAAACCAUGCACCGAAGCUGCGGCAGCGACACUAUGUGUUGUUGGGUAGGGGAGCGUUCUGUAAGCCUGUGAAGGUGGCCUGUGAGGGUUGCUGGAGGUAUCAGAAGUGCGAAUGCUGACAUAAGUAACGAUAAAGCGGGUGAAAAGCCCGCUCGCCGGAAGACCAAGGGUUCCUGUCCAACGUUAAUCGGGGCAGGGUGAGUCGACCCCUAAGGCGAGGCCGAAAGGCGUAGUCGAUGGGAAACAGGUUAAUAUUCCUGUACUUGGUGUUACUGCGAAGGGGGGACGGAGAAGGCUAUGUUGGCCGGGCGACGGUUGUCCCGGUUUAAGCGUGUAGGCUGAUUUUCCAGGCAAAUCCGGAAAAUCAAGGCUGAGGCGUGAUGACGAGGCACUACGGUGCUGAAGCGACAAAUGCCCUGCUUCCAGGAAAAGCCUCUAAGCAUCAGGUAACAUCAAAUCGUACCCCAAACCGACACAGGUGGUCAGGUAGAGAAUACCAAGGCGCUUGAGAGAACUCGGGUGAAGGAACUAGGCAAAAUGGUGCCGUAACUUCGGGAGAAGGCACGCUGAUACGUAGGUGAAGUCCCUCGCGGAUGGAGCUGAAAUCAGUCGAAGAUACCAGCUGGCUGCAACUGUUUAUUAAAAACACAGCACUGUGCAAACACGAAAGUGGACGUAUACGGUGUGACGCCUGCCCGGUGCCGGAAGGUUAAUUGAUGGGGUUAGCGCAAGCGAAGCUCUUGAUCGAAGCCCCGGUAAACGGCGGCCGUAACUAUAACGGUCCUAAGGUAGCGAAAUUCCUUGUCGGGUAAGUUCCGACCUGCACGAAUGGCGUAAUGAUGGCCAGGCUGUCUCCACCCGAGACUCAGUGAAAUUGAACUCGCUGUGAAGAUGCAGUGUACCCGCGGCAAGACGGAAAGACCCCGUGAACCUUUACUAUAGCUUGACACUGAACAUUGAGCCUUGAUGUGUAGGAUAGGUGGGAGGCUUUGAAGUGUGGACGCCAGUCUGCAUGGAGCCAACCUUGAAAUACCACCCUUUAAUGUUUGAUGUUCUAACGUAGACCCGUGAUCCGGGUUGCGGACAGUGUCUGGUGGGUAGUUUGACUGGGGCGGUCUCCUCCCAAAGAGUAACGGAGGAGCACGAAGGUUAGCUAAUCCUGGUCGGACAUCAGGAGGUUAGUGCAAUGGCAUAAGCUAGCUUGACUGCGAGCGUGACGGCGCGAGCAGGUGCGAAAGCAGGUCAUAGUGAUCCGGUGGUUCUGAAUGGAAGGGCCAUCGCUCAACGGAUAAAAGGUACUCCGGGGAUAACAGGCUGAUACCGCCCAAGAGUUCAUAUCGACGGCGGUGUUUGGCACCUCGAUGUCGGCUCAUCACAUCCUGGGGCUGAAGUAGGUCCCAAGGGUAUGGCUGUUCGCCAUUUAAAGUGGUACGCGAGCUGGGUUUAGAACGUCGUGAGACAGUUCGGUCCCUAUCUGCCGUGGGCGCUGGAGAACUGAGGGGGGCUGCUCCUAGUACGAGAGGACCGGAGUGGACGCAUCACUGGUGUUCGGGUUGUCAUGCCAAUGGCACUGCCCGGUAGCUAAAUGCGGAAGAGAUAAGUGCUGAAAGCAUCUAAGCACGAAACUUGCCCCGAGAUGAGUUCUCCCUGACUCCUUGAGAGUCCUGAAGGAACGUUGAAGACGACGACGUUGAUAGGCCGGGUGUGUAAGCGCAGCGAUGCGUUGAGCUAACCGGUACUAAUGAACCGUGAGGCUUAACCUUACAACGCCGAAG
rnacentral:rRNA from 1 species